CAUGAAGUUGGAAUUGCUAGUAAUCGCGGAUCAGCAUGCCGCGGUGAAUACGUUCCCUGGCCUUGUACACACCGCCCGUCACACCAUGGGAGCCGGUAAUACCCGAAGUCAGUAGCCUAACCGCAAGGGGGGCGCUGCCGAAGGUAGGAUUGGCGACUGGGGUGAAGUCGUAACAAGGUAUC
rnacentral:rRNA from 1 species